rnacentral:lncRNA from 1 species
AUAAAUCCCACCGGGGACAACUUCCACUGAAACAAACCACUGAGGGACUCUGCUAGGGCAACAACCAAUGCUCACCUCUGCUGAGGAUAGCAGCCAAUCCAUAGGUAGGAUAAACUCUACUGGGGAUAAUUUCCACCGAACCUGAUCCACUCGGGGACUUGCUAGAGAAAACCAUCGACACAACCCUCUGCCAGGGAGAUCUGCUAGGGGAAAACAUUCACAACCCUGAUGGAGAAACACAUCCAUAACCCUGCUGGGGAAAGGCAUAACUCUG